GGGUACCGGUACAGAGUCAAUGUGGAGGCUAUAUACAGGGUAUUACGGUACAGAGUCAAUGUGGAGGCUAUAUACAGGGGUACCGGUACAGAGUCAAUGUGGAGGCUAUAUACAGGGGUACCGGUACAGAGUCAAUGUGGAGGCUAUAUACAGGGUAUUACGGUACAGAGUCAAUGUGGAGGCUAUAUACAGGGUAUUACGGUACAGAGUCAAUGAGGAGGCUAUAUACAGGGGUUACGGUACAGAGUCAAUGUGGAGGCUAUAUACAGGGUGUUACGGUACAGAGUCAAUGUGGAGACCAUAUACAGGGGGUUACGGUACAGAGUCAAUGUGGAGGCUAUAUACAGGGGGUACCGGUACUAUGUCAAAGUGGAGGCUAUAUACAGGGGGUACCAGUACUAUGUCAAUGUGGAGUCUAUAUACAGGGAGUACCGGUACAGAGUCAAUGUGGAGGUUAUAUACAGGGGGUACCGGUACAGAGUCAAUGUGGAGGUUAUAUACAGGGGUACCGGUACAGAGUCAAUGUGGAGGCUAUAUACAGGUUAUUACGGUACAGAGUCAAUGUGGAGGCUAUAUACAGGGGGUACUGGUACAGAGUCAAUGUGGAGGCUAUAUACAGGGUGUUAUGGUACAGAGUCAAUGUGGAGGCUAUAUACAGGGUGUUACGGUACAGAGUCAAUGUGGAGGCUAUAUACAGG
ensembl:lncRNA